GUGUCAGCCGCCGCGGUAAAACGUAGGUCCCGAGCGUUGUUCGGAUUCACUGGGUGUAAAGGGCGCGUAGGUGGUUGUCUGUGUCUCAUGUGAAAACUCAGGGCUCAACUCUGAGAUUGCGUGGGAAACUAGGCAGCUAGAGGACGGUAGAGGGGAGUGGAAUUCCCGGUGUAGCGGUGAAAUGCGUAGAUACCGGGAGGAACACCGGUGGCGAAGACGGCUCUCUGGACUGUCCCUGACACUGAGGAGCGAAAGCCAGGGGAGCAAACCGGAUUAGAUACCCGGGUAGUCCUGGCCGUAAACGAUGGGUACUAGGUGUUGGGGGGUAAAGACCCUUCAGUGCCGAAGCUAACGCGAUAAGCAUCCCACCUGGGGAGUACGGCCGCAAGGUUGAAACUUAAAGAAAUUGGCGG
rnacentral:rRNA from 1 species